AUUGAACGCUGGCGGCAGGCCUAACACAUGCAAGUCGAGCGGAGCGGCGGACGGGUGAGUAAUGCCUAGGAAUCUGCCUGGUAGUGGGGGAUAACGUCCGGAAAAGGGCGCUAAUACCGCAUACUAUCAGAUGAGCCUAGGGCGUAUUAGCUCGGUGGUGGGGUAAAGGCCUACCAAGGCGACGAUCCGUAACUGGGCUGAGAGGAUGAUCAGUCACACUGGAACUGAGACACGGUCCAGACUCCUACGGGAGGCAGCAGUGGGGAAUAUUGGACAAUGGGCGAAAGCCUGAUCCAGCCAUGCCGCGUGUGUGAAGAAGGUCUUCGGAUUGUAAAGCACUUUAAGUUGUGAGGCGUUCCCCGCACUCUAAGCACCGGCUAACUUCGUGCCAGCAGCCGCGGUAAUAC
rnacentral:rRNA from 1 species